rnacentral:lncRNA from 1 species
AAUAGGGUUUGAUCCAAUCAAGCCUAUUAUUCAAUAGGGUUUGAUCCAAUCAAAGCCUAUAUCAAACUAAAUUGAAUCUUGUUCAACUUAAAAUUUGAUUUACAUCUCUAAGAUCAAUUGGAAUAAGUUCUGUUAUCCAAUAGGGCUGCAUCCAAUCAAUUCAAAGCAAACCUAAUUGAAUCCAAUUCAAUUAGAUUUGAUCCAAUCCACAUUGUUCAAUUAAAUUGAGCCA